ACGAGUGGCGGACGGGUGAGUAAUGUCUGGGAAACUGCCUGAUGGAGGGGGAUAACUACUGGAAACGGUAGCUAAUACCGCAUAACGUCGCAAGACCAAAGAGGGGGACCUUCGGGCCUCUUGCCAUCGGAUGUGCCCAGAUGGGAUUAGCUUGUUGGUGGGGUAACGGCUCACCAAGGCGACGAUCAGUAGCCGGUCUGAGAGGAUGAACGGCCACAUUGGGACUGAGACACGGCCCAGACUCCUACGGGAGGCAGCAUG
rnacentral:rRNA from 1 species